AACAUUACGGUCAUGAUUAUACCAAAUAAUCUCUGGUCAUAAUCAUACCAAGUCCAUCUAUGCAAUACAGGCCACAGAUGACUUUCAACAUAAUAUAAACAUGAGGAUGAUGACAAUGACAUAAUAAUUCAAUAAAACAAGUUCAAGAAUUAAUUUAUCCAAGAACCAAUAAUGUCCAAAUUGUCAACAUGAUACUGCUUUGUAGAGUAAAAUUCAAGAAUGCUCA
rnacentral:lncRNA from 1 species